UGGGGAAUAUUGCACAAUGGGCGCAAGCCUGAUGCAGCCAUGCCGCGUGUAUGAAGAAGGCCUUCGGGUUGUAAAGUACUUUCAGCGAGGAGGAAGGCGUUGUGGUUAAUAACCGCAACGAUUGACGUUACUCGCAGAAGAAGAACCGGCUAACUCCGUGCCAGCAGCCGCGGUAAUACGGAGGGUGCAAGCGUUAAUCGGAAUUACUGGGCGUAAAGCGCACGCAGGCGGUCUGUCAAGUCGGAUGUGAAAGCCCCGGUCUCCACCUGGGAACUGCAUCCGAAACUGGCAGGCUAGAGUCUUGUAGAGGGGGGUAGAAUUCCAGGUGUAGCGGUGAAAUGCGUAGAGAUCUGGAGGAAUACCGGUGGCGAAGGCGGCCCCCUGGACAAAGACGGACGCUCAGGUGCGAAAGCGUGGGGAGCAAACA
rnacentral:rRNA from 1 species